UACGUAGGGUGCGAGCGUUGUCCGGAUUUAUUGGGCGUAAAGAGCUCGUAGGCGGUUUGGUAAGUUGGAUGUGAAAUCUCCAGGCUCAACUUGGAGGGGUCAUUCGAUACUGCCAUGACUAGAGUUCGGUAGGGGAGUGUGGAAUUCCUGGUGGAGCGGUGAAAUGCGCAGAUAUCAGGAGGAACACCCGUAGCGAAGGCGGCACUCUGGGCCGGAACUGACGCUGAGGAGCGAAAGCGUGGGGAGCGAACAGG
rnacentral:rRNA from 1 species